rnacentral:rRNA from 1 species
UACGUAGGGGGCGAGCGUUGUCCGGAUUUACUGGGCGUAAAGAGCUCGUAGGCGGUUUGAUUAGUCGGGUGUGAAACCUCCAGGCUUAACCUGGAGUCGCCACUUGAUACUGUCAUGACUAGAGUCCGGUAGGGGAUCAUGGAAUUCCUGGUGUAGCGGUGGAAUGCGCAGAUAUCAGGAGGAACACCAAUGGCGAAGGCAGCUGGCUAACAUAUAACUGACACUGAGGGACGAAAGUGUGGGGAUCAAACAGG